rnacentral:rRNA from 1 species
GAUGAACGCUGGCGGCGUGCCUAAUACAUGCGAGUCGAGCGAAUGGAUUAAGAGCUUGCUCUUAUGAAGUUAGCGGCGGACGGGUGAGUAACACGUGGGUAACCUGCCCAUAAGACUGGGAUAACUCCGGGAAACCGGGGCUAAUACCGGAUAACAUUUUGAACCGCAUGGUUCGAAAUUGAAAGGCGGCUUCGGCUGUCACUUACGGAUGGACCCGCGUCGCAUUAGCUAGUUGGUGAGGUAACGGCUCACCAAGGCAACGAUGCGUAGCCGACCUGAGAGGGUGAUCGGCCACACGGGGACUGAGACACGGCCCAGACUCCUACGGGAGGCAGCAGUAGGGAAUCUUCUGCAAUGGACGAAAGUCUGACGGAGCAACGCCGCGUGAGUGAUGAAGGCUUUCGGGUCGUAAAACUCUGUUGUUAGGGAAGAACAAGUGCUAGUUGAAUAAGCUGGCACCUUGACGGUACCUAACCAGAAAGCCACGGCUAACUACGUGCCAGCCGCCGCGGUAA